UCAUAGUGAUGUCUUGCCAUGCUAAUACUGAGGAUGCUGUAGGUAUUCGCUGAGUUCAAAGUUUCUCAAGUUAUCUGAAUGAA